rnacentral:tRNA from 1 species
GCGGGAGUAGCUCAAUUGGUAGAGCAUCAGCCUUCCAAGCUGAGGGUCGAGGGUUCGAGACCCUUCUCCCGCUCCA